rnacentral:rRNA from 1 species
CACGUAGGAGGCAAACGUUAUCCGGAUUUACUGGGCGUAAAGCGCGUGUAGGUGGUUCUGUAAGUAGGGCGUGAAAGCUCCCGGCUCAACUGGGAGAGGCCGUUCUAAACUGCAGAGCUAGAGGAUGGUAGAGGGAGGUGGAAUUCCAGGUGUAGCGGUGGAAUGCGCAGAUAUCUGGAGGAACACCAGUGGCGAAGGCGGCCUCCUGGACCAUUCCUGACACUCAGACGCGAAAGCUAGGGUAGCAAACGGGAUUAGAUACCCCCGUAGUCCCUGA